UACGUAGGGUGCGAGCGUUGUCCGGAAUUAUUGGGCGUAAAGAGCUCGUAGGCGGCUUGUCACGUCGGGUGUGAAAGCCCGGGGCUUAACCCCGGGUCUGCAUUCGAUACGGGCUAGCUAGAGUGUGGUAGGGGAGAUCGGAAUUCCUGGUGUAGCGGUGAAAUGCGCAGAUAUCAGGAGGAACACCGGUGGCGAAGGCGGAUCGGUGGGCCAUUACUGACGCUGAGGAGCGAAAGCGUGGGGAGCGAACAGG
rnacentral:rRNA from 1 species